rnacentral:rRNA from 1 species
CCCUUAGAUGCUCUGGGCCGCACGCGCGCUACACUGGUCGAUGCAACGAGUUUCUUUCCUUGGCCGACAGGCCUGGGCAAUCUUUGAACAUCGAUCGUGAUCGGGAUAGAUUCUUGUAAUUUUUGAUCUUAAACGAGGAAUUCCUAGUAAACGCAAGUCAUCAGCUUGCAUUGAUUACGUCCCUGCCCUUUGUACACACCGCCCGUCGCACCUACCGAUUGAAUGGUCCGGUGAAAUCUCCGGACUGGCGUGAGUCGGAGCAAUCUGAUAAACGCCGGAAAGUUGAUUAAACCUUACCAUUUAGAGGAAGGUGAAGUCGUAACA